UUAAGUUCAGCGGGUAUCCCUACCUGAUCCGAGGUCAACCUUAAAAAUUGGGGUUAUGGCAAGUAACUGGAGGACCCUGUAGCGAGAAAAAUUACUACGCUUAGAGCCUAACAGCACCGCCACUGCGUUUAGAGGCCGCUGGAGGGCGGGCCCCAAUACCAAGCCAGGCUUGAUUGGUCAAAUGACGCUCGAACAGGCAU
rnacentral:misc_RNA from 1 species